rnacentral:rRNA from 1 species
GAUGAACGCUGGCGGCGUGCCUAAUACAUGCAAGUCGAGCGAACAGACGAGGAGCUUGCUCCUUUGACGUUAGCGGCGGACGGGUGAGUAACACGUGGGUAACCUACCUAUAAGACUGGGAUAACUUCGGGAAACCGGAGCUAAUACCGGAUAAUAUUUCGAACCGCAUGGUUCGAUAGUGAAAGAUGGCUUUGCUAUCACUUAUAGAUGGACCUGCGCCGUAUUAGCUAGUUGGUAAGGUAACGGCUUACCAAGGCAACGAUACGUAGCCGACCUGAGAGGGUGAUCGGCCACACUGGAACUGAGACACGGUCCAGACUCCUACGGGAGGCAGCAGUAGGGAAUCUUCCGCAAUGGGCGAAAGCCUGACGGAGCAACGCCGCGUGAGUGAUGAAGGUCUUCGGAUCGUAAAGCUCUGUUAUUAGGGAAGAACAGACGUGUAAGUAACUGUGCACGUCUUGACGGUACCUAAUCAGAAAGCCACGGCUAACUACGUG